UGGCGACCGGCGCACGGGUGAGUAACACAUAUCCAACCUGCCGAUGACUCGGGGAUAGCCUUUCGAAAGAAAGAUUAAUACCCGAUGGCAUAGUUCUUCCGCAUGGUAGAACUAUUAAAGAAUUUCGGUCAUCGAUGGGGAUGCGUUCCAUUAGCUUGUUGGCGGGGUAACGGCCCACCAAGGCAUCGAUGGAUAGGGGUUCUGAGAGGAAGGUCCCCCACAUUGGAACUGAGACACGGUCCAAACUCCUACGGAAGGCAGCAG
rnacentral:rRNA from 1 species